rnacentral:lncRNA from 1 species
AUGACAUCAAAGACUUAGCUUGGAAUAUCUUUAAAAGCUUGGAGCUUUCAAGAAGCUGAAGAUAAUUGAAGAUGGCAGUGACAUUUUUGCUGCUGCAAGUAUCAGAUAAUUAUGUCCUUUCUUUUUUGAUUUAUUAUCUUUGUUUUACUUGUAAUCUUAGCAUGGCAUGGUGAAGUAUGACCUAAGUGUUGUUUAGGUGAAAGUAUACUAGCUAAGUAUGGGAAAGUUACUGCCGCUACAAUAUUUUAACAUGUCACUAGCAGCUUUUUGCAUUUGCUUAAAUAUCUGUAAUGUUACAGCAAUGAAUAGAUUUUUCUCUUCACUUCUUUGUCCAAAAACCAACAAAUGGUAUCAGAGCUCUCUUGUUCUUAGAGGGACAGUGGAAUUGAGAGAAAACAAGUGAGAAAACACCAUCAAAAAACCUGUUUCAAACAGAAAAUGGCUUCAAGCAUUGCUGGAGCACUUUCACCACCGGUCUUCAAUGGUGACAACUAUCAACUUUGGGCUGUGAGAAUGAAAGCCUUGUUGAAAGGCUUAGAUUUAUGGGAAGCAGUAGAAACAGGAGCUGAUCCUCCUCCAUUGAGGACCAAUCCCACAGUCACACAAAUGAAGCACCAUGCUGAAGAAGUGGCAAAGAAAUUCAAAGCACUCUCUUAUAUACACUCAGCUGUGUCUGAGUCAAUAUUCACACGCAUUAUGGCAUGUAAAACAGGAAAAGAAGCUUGGGACAGACUUAAAGAGGAGUUUCAAGGCAGUAAAAAAACAAGACAAAUGCAGGUCUUGAACCUAAGAAGAGAGUUUGAAGCUUUGAAGAUGAAAGAAACAGAGAAUGUGAAGGAAUUCUCUAACAAAGUUUUGAGGGUUGUGAACCAGAUCAGGGUCCUUGGUGAAGAUCUUCUAGACAAGAGAGUUGUAGAGAAGGUUCUUGUAAGUCUUCCUGAGAGGUUUGAAGCUAAAAUUUCAUCUCUUGAAGACUCAAAGGAUCUUACACAAAUUUCACUAGCAGAGCUUGUUAAUGCACUACAAGCAACAGAACAAAGAAGGAAUUUGAGAUAGGAAGACAAUACUGAGGCAGCUCUUGUCAUGAAAAGCAAAGAGAAAGUUCAGUUCAACUCAAAAGGAAAAAAGUUUAAUGAUAGAAGGAAUAAAAAAGAAGGUGACAGCAGUAAGAAUGCAGAAAGGAAAGGGAAGUUUCCUCCAUUUUCAAAUUGCAAACAAACUAAUCAUUUGGAGAAAUUUUGCUGGUACAAACCUGGUGUUCAAUGCAGGUCUUGUAAAAAAUUUGGACACAUUGAAAAAGUUUGCAAGUCAAAGCCAAGCCAAGGAGAAUAUCAAGCUCAAACGGUAGAAAGUCAAGAGCAAGAUGAGGCAAAGCUCUUUGUUGCAACUUGUUGUGCAGCUGGGACCAGCAGUGAUUCCUGGCUCAUUGACAGUGGCUGCACUUAUCAUAUGACAUCUGAGAUUGUGACGUUCAAGAAGCUUGACAAGUCCUACAAUUCUAGAGUAAAGAUAGGAAGUGGAGAAUUUCUGGAAGUCAAGGGCAAAGGUGAAAUCUCAGUUGAAACUGCAACAGGUACAAAACUAAUUUCUGAAGUCUUGUAUGUACCUGAUAUAGACCAGAAUUUACUGAGUGUUGGUAGAUGCUUGAGAAACAAUAUUCCUUAUUGUUCAAAAAUAAGACAUGCACAAUCAUGGAUCCUGCUAGAAAUGAAUUGAUGCGAGUUAAAAUGAAAGAUAGAAGCUUUUCCUUAAGGUGGAAUAAGUUAAAUGCACAUGCAUUCUCUAGUUCUGUUGAUGAGUCUGCACUUUGGCAUAGAAGAUUAAAACACUUCAACUUUCAUGCACUUAAACACAUGUAUGACAACUGUUUAGUUUAAAACAUGCCUGUUAUGCUUUCCACAAUUGAAGUGUGUGAUGUGUGUCAAUUUGGAAAGCAAACCAGAAUUCCUUUUCCUAUUAAUCAAUCAUGGAGGGCAGUAGAGAAGUUGCAGCUUGUUCAUAGUGAUGUUUGUGGUCCCAUGAGUUCUCCUUCACUCAAUGGGAGCAAGUACUUUGUGCUUUUCAUUGAUGAUUUUUCCAGGUUCUGUUGGGUGUAUUUCUUGCAACAAAAAUCAGAAGUGCUACAGAUGUUUCAAAAGUUCAAAGCUGCAGCUGAGAAUCAAUGCAACUCAAAAAUCAAAAUACUCAGAGCUGAUAAUGGAACUGAGUAUGCUAACAAGAAUUUCAGUAAGGUUUGUGAAGAGGCAGGAAUUCAACAUCAAUUUACAACUAGUUACACUCCACAGCAGAAUGGAGUAAGUGUGAGAAAAAACAGGACUGUUAUGGAGAUGGCUAGAUGCUUAAUGUUUGAAAAAAAAUUACCAAAAAAAUUAUGGGUUGAGGCAGUAAAUACAUCAGUCUAACGAUUGAAUAGACUACCAACGAAGGCUUUAAAAGAACAAACUCCUUUUGAAGCCUGGUUUGAAGUUAAACCUUGCAUUGAACAUUUAAAAGUCUUUGGGAGCAUAUGCUAUGCUCAUAUUCCAGCUGUGAAAAGAGAUAAGUUGGAUCGCAAGUCUCAGGUUGGGAUUUUUCUGGGCUAUAGCAGCAAUGUAAAAGGAUAUAGGGUGUUCAACAUGGAGACAAAGAAUGUAAUAGUUUGCAGAGAUUUGAAAGUGGAUGAAGAAGCUUACUGGGAUUGGGAAAAGGCACAAGUGGAACUUAUAAACAAUAAUCAAAUUCAGAGAGUUGAUUCUCUUAAUCAAGAACCAGCUCAUGAACAAGAAGAUGCAGAUUAUGGAAGUGACACAGAUUCAGAUUUUGCAGUCAGAGGUACCAGGUCUCUAGAAGAAAUUUAUGAGAGGUCUAAUAUAGCCUUGCUGGAGCCAACAAGUCUAGAAGAGGCAAUGCAAUCUCCAAAUUGGAUGAAUGCAAUGCAAGGAGAGCUGAAAAUGAUCAAUAAAAAUGAAACGUGGAACUUGGUUGAUAGACCAAGAAACAAGAAGGUAAUUGGUGUAAAGUGGGUUUAUAGAAUCAAACUCAACUCAGAUGGUUCUGUAAAUAAGCACAAAGCAAGAUUAGUUGUGAAAGGCUAUUCACAACAGUUUGGAGUGGAUUACACAGAUACCUUUGCUCCAGUAGCAAGGUAUGAUACAAUAAGGCUUCUCAUUGCCUUGGCUAGGGGUGAGCAUUCGGUCGGUUCGGUUCAAAACCGAACCGAACCGAAUAAACCGAAAACCGAAAUUUGAGUGUUUAUGAAAACCGAACCGAACCGAUUUUGAUCAGAAACUGAAUCGAACCGAACCGGUCUGAUUCGGUUCGGUUCAGUUUGAUCGGUUUUGAUUUUUAAUAAUUUUUUUUAUUUUUUACACUUUAUUUUUAAUAUUUUAAAAUUUAAUUAAAAUAUUUUAAUUUUAAUAUGAUUUAAUUUCUAUAUAUUAUUGAAAAAACAUAUUAUUAUUACUAAUCGGUUCGGUUCGGUUUUUUCGGUUUUUUUCUGAUCAAAACCGAACCGAACCGAAAUAACCGAAAUUUUUGAAAUUGAAAACCGAACCGAAUCGAAAUAUAUAAAAAACCGAACCAAAUUUUUAAAUCGGUUCGGUUCGGUCGGUUUUUUCGAUUUGAACCGAAUAGUGCUCACCCCUAGCCUUGGCUGCUCAAAAAUGUUGGAAGAUUUAUUAGCUUGAUGUGAAAUCUACAUUUCUAAAUGGUCAUCUACAAGAGGAGAUUUUUGUAGAGCAACCACCUGGUUUCAUUAAGAAGGGACAAGAAGAUAAAGUUUUCUUCCUCAAGAAAGCUUUAUAUGGGUUGAAACAGGCCCCUAGAGCCUGGUACAGCAUAAUGGAUUAUCAUUUGUUGAAAUUGGAUUUUACAAGAAGUCCUAGUGAAGCUACUUUGUAUGUUAAAGCUGAGAAUGAAGAUUUGCUAAUUGUUUCCUUGUAUGUGGAUGACCUUUUGAUCACAGGAAGUAGCAAUGAGUUGGUACAACAAUUCAAGAAUGAAAUGCAGUCUGUAUUUGAGAUGACUGAUCUUGGAGAAAUGACUUUCUUCCUUGGAUUGGAGGUUCAUCAAACAAGUCAUGGAACCUUCAUUUGUCAAGAAAAAUAUGCAAAUGAAGUACUUAAGAAGUUUGGGAUGGAAAAUUGCAGUAGUAUCAACACUCCUUUGGCCCAAAAUGAGAAAUUGAGCAAGGAAGAUGAUUCAGAAAAAAUAGAUUCAGGAAUUUAUAGAAGUGUAAUUGGAUGUCUAUUGUAUUUAGCAACUUCCAGACCUGAUAUUAUGUUUGUAACCAGCCUAUUAUUUAGGUUCAUACAUAAUCCUAGCCAAAGGCACUUCAAGGCAGGUAUGUGAAGGGAACCAGUAAUUUGGGCAUUUGGUUCAAGGCUGGUCAAGAAGUGAAGCUUAUUGGGUAUACAGACAGUGAUUGGGGAGGCACAGUUGAUGACAUGAAGAGCACCUCAGGAUUCAUGUUCUCUAUUGGUUCAGGAGCUGUUAGCUGGAGUUCAAGAAAGUAGGAAGUGGUAGCUCAGUCUACAGCAGAAGCAUAAUACAUUUCUGCUGCUGCUGCUGUGAAUCAGGCCAUUUGGCUUAGAAAGUUUAUGAAAGAUUUGAAGCAGGAACAAAGGGAAGCUACUGUGAUCUUCUAUGAUAAUCAGUCAGCUAUAGCAAUGGCAAAAAACCCAGUUUUUCAUGGUAGAACCAAACAUAUCAAGAUCAAAUUUCAUUUUAUUAGAGAAGCAGAGAAAGAAGAAGAAGUGAAGCUCAUUCAUUGUGAUUCUGAAGUUCAAGUUGCUGAUCUCUUAACCAAAGGAUUGCCUAAAAUCAGAUUUGAAACAUUGAGGAGGAGCCUUGGUGUUUCCAGCAAAAAUGUCAAGGAGGAGUGAAGAUGGCAAUGACAUUUUUGCUGCUGCAAGUAUCAGAAAAUUAUGUCCUUUCUUUUUUGAUUUAUUAUCUUUGUUUUACUUAUAAUCUUAGCAUGGCAUGGUGAAGUAUGACCUAAGUGUUGUUUAGGUGAAAGUAUACUAGCUAAGUAUGGGAAAGUUACUGCCACUAUAGUAUUUUAACAUGUGACUAGCAGCUUUUUGCAUUUGCUUAAAUAUCUGUAAUGUUACAGCAAUGAAUAGAUUUUUCUCUUCACUUCUUUGUCCAAAAACCAACAAUAAUAAAAACAAAAAUCUUGAAUGAUAGCAUGUCUCCAUAUUCUCCCUCUCAAUGCCCCACUUUGCUAGAAGCAUGGUUGGAUACCGUUUCAAAUCACCUUUUCUUAUCAAAAUGAAACUAGGAACACUAAUAACCAACAACUUAUACUUCACAUUCCCAAAAAAAAAUGGAAAAUAAACAGAAAAUUGAAAAUUUAUAUUGUUAAGACUAAAGAGUUGCACAGUUAGUGAAAAAUGAGGAAAAAAAUAAAAAGAAAUUUUUUGCAUAACUCACAAAGAAUACCUG